rnacentral:rRNA from 1 species
UACGGAAGGCAGCAGGGGGGAAUAUUGCACAAUGGGCGAAAGCCUGAUGCAGCUAUGCCGCGUGUAUGAAGAAGGCCUUAGGGUUGUAAAGUACUUUCAUCGGGGAGGAAAAAACAAAACUAAUAAUUUUAUUUCUUGACGUUACCCGAAAAAGAAGCACCGGCUAACUCCGUGCCAGCAGCCGCGGUAAUACGGAGGGUGCUAGCGUUAAUCAGAAUUACUGGGCGUAAAGAGCACGUAGGUGGUUUUUUUAAGUCAGAUGUGAAAUCCCUGGGCUUAACCUGGAACUGCAUUUUGAAACUGAAAUACUAGAGUAUCGUAGAGGGAGGUAGAAUUCUAGGUGUAGCGGUGAAAUGCGUAGAUAUCUGGAGGAAUACCUGUGGCGAAAGCGGCCUCCUAAACGAAUACUGACACUGAGGUGCGAAAGCGUGGGGAGCAAACAGGGAUUAGAUACC